CGUGCUUAACACAUGCAAGUCGAACGGAAAGGCCUCUUCGGAGGUACUCGAGUGGCGAACGGGUGAGUAACACGUGGGUGAUCUGCCCUGCACUCUGGGAUAAGCCUGGGAAACUGGGUCUAAUACCGGAUAGGACCAUGCUUUAGUGUGUGUGGUGGAAAGUUUUUUCGGUGUAGGAUGAGCCCGCGGCCUAUCAGCUUGUUGGUGGGGUAAUGGCCUACCAAGGCGGCGACGGGUAGCCGGACUGAGAGGUUGGUCGGCCACAUUGGGACUGAGAUACGGCCCAGACUCCUACGGGAGGCAGCAGUGGGGAAUAUUGCACAAUGGGCGCAAGCCUGAUGCAGCGACGCCGCGUGGGGGAUGACGGCCUUCGGGUUGUAAACUCCUUUCGCCAGGGACGAAGCGUUUUGUGACGGUACCUGGAGAAGAAGCACCGGCUAACUACGUGCCAGCAGCCGCGGUAAUACGUAGGGUGCAAGCGUUGUCCGGAAUUACUGGGCGUAAAGAGCUCGUAGGUGGUUUGUCACGUCGUCUGUGAAAUUCCACAGCUUAACUGUGGGCGUGCAGGCGAUACGGGCUGACUUGAGUACUGUAGGGGUAACUGGAAUUCCUGGUGUAGCGGUGAAAUGCGCAGAUAUCAGGAGGACACCGAUGGCGAAGGCAGGUUACUGGGCAGUUACUGACGCU
rnacentral:rRNA from 1 species